rnacentral:rRNA from 1 species
CAGUCGCCGCGGUAAAACGGAGGGUGCAAGCGUUAAUCGGAAUUACUGGGCGUAAAGCGCACGCAGGCGGUCUGACAAGUCAGAUGUGAAAUCCCCGGGCUUAACCUGGGAACUGCAUUUGAAACUGUCAGGCUGGAGUCUUGUAGAGGGGGGUAGAAUUCCAGGUGUAGCGGUGAAAUGCGUAGAGAUCUGGAGGAAUACCGGUGGCGAAGGCGGCCCCCUGGACAAAGACUGACGCUCAGGUGCGAAAGCGUGGGGAGCAAACAGGAUUAGAUACCCCGGUAGUCCCUGUCUCUUAUAC